rnacentral:pre_miRNA from 1 species
AUGUGUGGUAUCUUACUUCAGAGAGUGAUAAUCAUUCAUAAAUAAAUAUGAUUGACACCUCUGCAGUAGAAUAACACAUGU